rnacentral:snRNA from 1 species
AUCGCUUCUCGGCCUUUUGGCUAAGAUCAAGUGUAGUAUCUGUUCUUAUCAGUUUAAUAUCUGAUACGUCCCCUACCCGGGGACCAAAUAAUAAAUUACGUCUAGAUAAAACUUUCGGUGUCUAGCUCACGGAUGACCUGAAACAGGAACGCUAAUGUUGGCCAGCCGUCCAUAAGUGUAGCGGUCCUAUUUCGGGUCAACCGUG